AUUGAACGCUGGCGGCAGGCCUAACACAUGCAAGUCGAGCGAGCGGCGGACGGGUGAGUAAUGUAUGGGGACUGCCCGAUAGAGGCGGAUAACUACUGGAAACGGUAGCUAAUACCGCAUACUAUCGGAUAACCCAUAUGGUAUUAGCUAGUAGGAGAGGGAAUGGCGCACUUAGGCGACGAUCCCUAGCUGGUAUGAGAGGAUGAUCAACCACACUGGGACUGAGACACGGACCAGAAUCCUACGGAGGCAGCAGUAGGGAAUAUUGCAAAAUGGGCGCAAGCCUGAUGCAGCCAUGCCGCGUGUAUGAAGAAGGCCCUAGGGUGGUAAAGUACUGUCAGUCGGGAGGCGUUACCGACAGAAGAAGCACCGGCAAACUCCGUGCCAGCAGCCGCGGUAAUUC
rnacentral:rRNA from 1 species